GGGUAACCUGCCCAAGAGAUCGGGAUAACACCUGGAAACAGAUGCUAAUACCGGAUAACAACAGAUGAUGCCUAUCAACUGUUUAAAAGAUGGUUCUGCUAUCACUCUUGGAUGGACCUGCGGUGCAUUAGCUAGUUGGUAGGGUAACGGCCUACCAAGGCGAUGAUGCAUAGCCGAGUUGAGAGACUGAUCGGCCACAUUGGGACUGAGACACGGCCCAAACUCCUACGGGAGGCAGCAGCG
rnacentral:rRNA from 1 species